rnacentral:rRNA from 1 species
CUCCUACGGGGGGCAGCAGUGGGGAAUAUUGCACAAUGGGGGAAACCCUGAUGCAGCAACGCCGCGUGAAGGAAGACGGUUUUCGGAUUGUAAACUUCUGUUCUUAGUGAAGAAAAAUGACGGUAGCUAAGGAGCAAGCCACGGCUAACUACGUGCCAGCAGCCGCGGUAAUACGUAGGUGGCAAGCGUUGUCCGGAAUUACUGGGUGUAAAGGGAGCGUAGGCGGCACGCCAAGUCAGUUGUGAAACCCGUAGGCUCAACCUACGGCUUGCAAUUGAAACUGGCGAGCUAGAGUACAGGAGAGG